rnacentral:rRNA from 1 species
GGAGGAAAAGAAAAUAACAAUGAUUUCCCUAGUAACGGCGAGUGAAGAGGAAAGAGCUCAAAGUUGGAAACUGUUUGGCUUAGCUAAACCGUAUUGUAAACUGUAGAAACAUUUUCCUGGCACACCAGAUUAAUAAGUCCUUUGGAACAAGGCAUCAUGGAGGGUGAGAAUCCCGUCUUUGAUCUGAGUAGUUGUCUUUUGUGAUAUGUUUUCAAAGAGUCAGGUUGUUUGGGAAUGCAGCCUAAAUUGGGUGGUAAAUCUCACCUAAAGCUAAAUAUUUGCGAGAGACCGAUAGCGAACAAGUACCGUGAGGGAAAGAUGAAAAGAACUUUGAAAAGAGAGUUAAACAGUAUGUGAAAUUGUUAAAAGGGAACCGUUUGGAGCCAGACUGGUUUGACUGUAAUCAACCUAGAAUUCGUUUUGGGUGCACUUGCAGUCUAUACCUGCCAACAACAGUUUGAUUUGGAGGACAAAAUUAAUAGGAAUGUAGCAUCUCGAGGUGUUAUAGACUAUUAUCAUACUCUGGAUUGGACUGAGGAACGCAGCGAAUGCCUUUAGGCGAGAUUGCUGGGUGCUUUCGCUAAUAAAUGUUAGAAUUUCUGCUUCGGGUGGUGCUAAUGUUUAAAGGAGGAACACAUCUAGUAUAUUUUUUAUUCGCUUAGGUUGUUGGCUUAAUGACUCUAAUGAC